GGAUGAGCCCGCACUUGAUUAGUUUGUUGGUGGGGUAAUGGCCUACCAAGACUGUGAUCAAUAGCUGAUUUGAGAGGAUGAUCAGCCACAUUGGGACUGAGACACGGCCCAAACUCCUACGGGAGGCAGCAGUGGGGAAUCUUGCACAAUGGAGGAAACUCUGAUGCAGCGAUGCCGCGUGAGUGAAGAAGGCCCUUGGGUUGUAAAGCUCUUUCGUCGGGGAAGAAAAUGACUGUACCCGAAUAAGAAGGUCCGGCUAACUUCGUGCCAGCAGCCGCGGUAAUACGAAGGGACCUAGCGUAGUUCGGAAUUACUGGGCUUAAAGAGUUCGUAGGUGGUUGAAAAAGUUAGUGGUGAAAUCCCAGAGCUUAACUCUGGAACUGCCAUUAAAACUUUUCAGCUAGAGUAUGAUAGAGGAAAGCAGAAUUUCUAGUGUAGAGGUGAAAUUCGUAGAUAUUAGAAAGAAUACCAAUUGCGAAGGCAGCUUUCUGGAUCAUUACUGACACUGAGGAACGAAAGCAUGGGUAGCGAAGAGGAUUAGAUACCCUCGUAGUCCAUGCCGUAAACGAUGUGUGUUAGACGUUGGAAAUUUAUUUUCAGUGUCGCAGCGAAAGCGAUAAACACACCGCCUGGGGAGUACGACCGCAAGGUUAAAACUCAAAUGAAUUGACGGCGACCCGCACAAGUAGUGGAGCAUGUGGUUUAAUUCGAAGAUACGCGCAGAACCUUACCAACACUUGACAUGUUCGUCGCGACUCUAAGAGAUUAGAGUUUUCGGUUCGGCCGGACGAAACACAGGUGCUGCAUGGCUGUCGUCAGCUCGUGUCGUGAGAUGUUGGGUUAAGUCCCGCAACGAGCGCAACCCUCACUUUUAGUUGCCAUCAUUAAGUUGGGCACUCUGAAAGAACUGCCAGUGAUAAGCUGGAGGAAGGUGGGGAUGACGUCAAGUCCUCAUGGCCCUUACGUGUUGGGCUACACACGUGCUACAAUGGUAUCUACAACAGGAAGCAAGACUGCGAGGUCAAGCAAAUCCUUAAAAGAUACCUCAGUUCGGAUUGCACUCUGCAACUCGAGUGCAUGAAGCUGGAAUUACUAGUAAUCGUGGAUCAGCGUGCCACGGUGAAUGCGUUCCCGGGUCUUGUACACACCGCCCGUCACACCAUGGGAGUUGGUUCUACCUUAAGGCAAGGUUUCAAACCCUUGACCACGGUAUAGUCAGCGACUGGGGUGAAGUCGUAACAAGGUAGCCGUAGGGGAACCUGCGGCUG
rnacentral:rRNA from 1 species